rnacentral:rRNA from 1 species
GACGAACGCUGGCGGCGUGCCUAAUACAUGCAAGUCGAGCGAAGUUUUUCUGGUGCUUGCACCGGAAAAACUUAGCGGCGAACGGGUGAGUAACACGUAAAGAACCUGCCUCAUAGACUGGGACAACUAUUGGAAACGAUAGCUAAUACCGGAUAAUAGCGUUAACUGCAUGGUUGAUGUUUAAAAGUUGGUUUUGCUAACACUAUGAGAUGGCUUUGCGGUGCAUUAGCUAGUUGGUGGGGUAAAGGCCUACCAAGGCGACGAUGCAUAGCCGACCUGAGAGGGUGAUCGGCCACACUGGGACUGAGACACGGCCCAGACUCCUACGGGAGGCAGCAGUAGGGAAUCUUCCGCAAUGGGCGAAAGCCUGACGGAGCAACGCCGCGUGAGUGAAGAAGGAUUUCGGUUCGUAAAGCUCUGUUGUUAGGGAAGAAUGAUUGUGUAGUAACUAUACACAGUAGAGACGGUACCUAACCAGAAAGCCACGGCUAACUACGUG